GCCAAAAAUCUAGCCCCAAACUGCCUCAACCAACACAUUAUACCCGUAAUUAAAACAUUCAUUAAAUCUAGUAAAGGCGAUUGAAAAAUUAAUUGGCGCAAUACAUUUAGUACCGCAAGGGAAAGAUGAAAUAAAAAUGAAAAACCUCAAGCACAAAAAAGCAGAGACUCCAUCUCGUACCUUUUGCAUCAUGGUUUAACUAGUCCAAUCAAGCAAAAAGAUUUGAAGUUUGACACCCCGAAACUAAGCGAGCUACUUCAGGGCAGCCUAACGGGCGCCCCCAUCUCUGUUGCAAAAGAGUGGAAAGACCCUCAAGUAGAAGUGAUAAGCCUAU
rnacentral:rRNA from 1 species